rfam:Picea glauca, whole genome shotgun sequence.
GUAAUGGUGUCUUUAGACACCACCUUUACUUCAAAAAUUUGUAUU